rnacentral:rRNA from 1 species
GAUGAACGCUGGCGGCGUGCCUAAUACAUGCAAGUCGAGCGAACGGACGAGAAGCUUGCUUCUCUGAUGUUAGCGGCGGACGGGUGAGUAACACGUGGAUAACCUACCUAUAAGACUGGGAUAACUUCGGGAAACCGGAGCUAAUACCGGAUAAUAUUUUGAACCGCAUGGUUCAAAAGUGAAAGACGGUCUUGCUGUCACUUAUAGAUGGAUCCGCGCUGCAUUAGCUAGUUGGUAAGGUAACGGCUUACCAAGGCAACGAUGCAUAGCCGACCUGAGAGGGUGAUCGGCCACACUGGAACUGAGACACGGUCCAGACUCCUACGGGAGGCAGCAGUAGGGAACCUUCCGCAAAGGGCGAAAGCCUGACGGAGCAACGCCGCGUGAGUGAUGAAGGUCUUCGGAUCGUAAAACUCUGUUAUUAGGGAAGAACAUAUGUGUAAGUAACUGUGCACAUCUUGACGGUACCUAAUCAGAAAGCCACGGCUAACUACGUG